CUAAUGCCUGCUACAUAGUAAGUGCUCAAUAAAAAGUGAGCAGCGCCUGCAGGGUUUAGUGUAGAGGGGACAUAGAUGACCUCUAACCUGUCAUUCUAGCCUGGGGUGCCUGCCCAGGGCCAAGCUCCUGGUGCAACCCUGGUCCCAACCUUUCUGCAAACACCCACCCUUAGCGGACACCUGUGCUUCAUUCUGUGGAUCUGACAUGCCUUACUGCUUGGCCCUCCUCUUCUCCACUGAGGCUCCAUGACUCCCUGUGCCUGUUCCCAUCUGUUCCCUACCCACCCACAGAACAGUCCCAGGGAGAAGACUCCCUCUAGUUGUCCUCAGUGUGGUCCGGCCAAGAUCCCAGUUUCUCAGAGGGGCCCUGCUGGUAGGGAAUAGACUCUGUGAGUGCCCUGUCUUCCACAGCUCUCAGAUCUUGACACUAGAAUAACACCCCCCGCCCCCCAUCAUGUUUUCGGUAUAUCUCCUGAAGGAAAGGAAAAGAAAGCCCAGAAGCAGAAAGGCCGGCCAGGCCAGCAGUCUGCGUGGAGAACCAAAUGCGUGCAUGUUCUACCAGUUGGAUAAUGCACUUCCUAUUCCAGUCCCACCCCAACCUCUGACCCCUGACCUCUGACUCCUGACCAGAGGGAAGAAGCCUGGGGUUAGUCAGCGUACCUCCUACAAAGAUAGGACCUCGCUGCUAAUGCUGGAGUUUUUCAUGCUUCUCUGGACAGUGCCCUCCCCCCGGUGGUAGCAACAAGGCAAACUCCCCCCCGACCCCCAGCUCCCUGGCUGCCCCGGCCAAGGCCUGCCAGGGUACCCUGCUAAUUACACUGCCUUCUUGGUACCACUGCUGGCCCUGGAAGCAAAGGAAGACACUCUGAGUCUAUGGCAGUGCCUUGUCAGGUAAAAGGGGACUACAGCCAAGCCUACAGGGCCAGUGCAGUGUGUAUGUGUGUGUGGGCUGCCAGCAGGGAGCCUAUCUAUGCCUACCUGGGCUGUGGCAAGUGGCUAGCCCUCAGGUUCCUCCACCCUGUCGACCCCAGCUGGAGGCAAACUAGAGUGAUGGCUGCCAUCUUGUACUAGGAGGACGAAGCUGCACAGUGAGAAUCGUGAAGGGGACCAGGUGUCAGUGACAUCCCAGCACCAGCGCUGGAUAGUCUCACAUCACAAGGGAAGCCAAUGCUUCUUUCUAUCUGUUUCCUAGGUGUGUAGGGGGCGGGGGAUUACAGGCAAAUUUGAUCCUGACACAGAGAUGCGACCCCUGUUCUCUCCCUUCUGUUUUCCGUGCUGAUGUUCCAUGGGAGGCCAGUGUAAGUCAAAGCCUCUAGCGGCUCUUUAGAGAGGGCAAGAGUGUCAUUGAUCCAGGCAAUGGAGGUAAGGGUGAAAGCAAAAGGCUUUGGGAGUGCUUGUUAGUACAGGGUGGGGCGGGGCGUGGGGGGGGUGGCCCCCCCCCCCAGCUUUCCUGGGAGCAGGGAUGAGAGCAGGAAGCAGGCAGAUCAGGGUGAGGUCACUAAAAGCAGCAGGCCAGUGGUGCGGCAUCUCCCAAGCCUUCCCCACUCCUCUCUUCUCUUAACCCUGCUUUCUCUGAGUCUUGGUUGCAAAGUGUGACUGCUCAGGGAGUUCACUGAACAAACUAAUUUGCAAGUGCAGAACAAAGAACAAGAGAUACUUUGUCCUAGGUCAAAAGGAAAGGAAACAAAAUGACAAGUGUGUGUGUGUAUGUGUGUGUAGGGGGACUGUCAGAACUUUCGAGAACUCUGAGGAACUUCAAAAGUAUUUCUACAUGACUUGCUGUCUGGCUGCCAGCCUCACACAAUGCCCCUUCUUCCUGCCUCUGAUAGACCCAGUGACUGUGUGGCCCCUAACAAGAGUUUCUGAGACCCAAACAGGAACAAUAUACUUUGCAGGUUAAGAUUUCUGUUUGUAGUUAAAGACUAAGUUCCUAUUUGUCCUAUGUUAGGUUCUUGCAAGUCGAAGUUUCUGUUUGUAAUUCCCAAGUUCCGUUUCUUAGCUCUGAUUUACAUCAGUACAAAACAUAAUUUUCUACCUACACUAAACUUGGGACCCUGUUCACUGGAUCCCUGUUCACUGGAUGUAAUUACCCUGUUCCUUCACUUUCCUGGUAUCUUUCUAACGAUGUAUAACAGGCAACUCUCCCUACCCUGUAAACACCUUAUCUCUCCUAUAAAAGGGACUUCAAGAGGCCAGUGGGGUCCCUUGGGUCAGUGGGCUGAAUCAGAGUGAGACAGCUGGCUGGCCAGACCAGGGUCCACCCCAAACAUAGCUUGUUUGACUUGGACAGUUGAGAAUUUCGUCUUUUCUCCGUUAGGGAAUAGUGGAUCAGUCUUUUGCUUGCACCGGGCUGGUGCAGAUGUUUCUCUCCCACAGCUAUGACCUCAGUUUCCACAGACACCCACAAUACCCCCUUGCCCCCAGCUGCCCCCUCAUGGGCUGAACUUGAUUCUAGGAGCUUUCACUCAUAGACUGCCAAACCUCUCUCUCUCUCUCUCUCUCUCUCUCUCUCUCUCUCUCUCUCUCUCUCUCUCUCUCUCUCUCUCUCUCUGUGUGUGUGUCUAUAUAUAUACAUACCCCACCCUGCUUUCUAGCUCUUCAGAACCCAAUGCCCCUUGAGUAGCAGGAGGAGGUGGGACAAUGGCCCUCUGAGAAGGUGCUCUGAGGAAAAGAGGCCAGGAGCAGAGGGUCAAGGCCCCCUAUGUCUUGUGGGAUGCUGUCUUGUGUACCCUACAGCUGUCUCCUCUCAGAUUCUCACCAAACAGUCCCUACUGUGACUGCCUCUCAGAGGAGGCUGCAGAUGCUGCUGCUGUUGCCCAAAGGAGGCUGUAGUCCUGUCAACUCCCCCGUCUUUGCCACAAUAGCUGUUUUGAAGAAAGGACUAUCUCCCUCAGCCCCCUCAGCUGCCAUAGCCCCCCUGCCUGAGCAUCCUGACUUUAUCUGCUCCUCCUCCAGCAGCUCAGGGCCAGGUUUACUAUCUGUGGGCAGCCUGGGGCUCUGAGCCUCUGUGGCCUCCAGGUAGAACAUGGGUACCAGCUCCCAAGCCCUGGGCAUCAUGGGCCAGCCCUGCAGGAGAACAGCUUUAAUGACCUUAUGAGCAGUAAUUACACCCCAGGGUCCAUCUUAAUAACCAGUAUUCCCCGUCAGUGGGCCUUAAUUGAAAAUGAGUAGGCGACACAAGUUUCUGUGAAGUUGGCUGGCAAGCCCUUAACGUGAUAUUAAUUGUAGUAAUUAGUAGUCACUUUGUGUUGGAGUCAUCUAUAAAUAGAGGGCCCAUUAGUUUAGCAAAAGAGCAUGAUUUAAAACACAAACAAAAGCCCAAUUAGUCAGCUAAAUCACUCAUCUUUUUGAGCAGAUCCCCUGGUUGUAGCUAGACUAGCAGCAAUCUAAGGGCACUGGUCAGUUUAAGGAUUCUGAAGGCACACCCACUGCAGUGGCCCAACCACACAGCACUGUCUCUUUAAAUAGGCCUGCCCCAGGAGGUGCUGGUCCUUGGAAGGUUCCAACAGACUCUUACUUUAUUGGCACAGGUAGCUGUCACAUUUCUCCCUCUGCUUUCUGAUUGGUUUCCCCCCAGAAGCACAAAAGAACUUCUUAAAGGUACAGUUGCACCAUGCACAGCCAGACUCUGGGAGAAUGAAUGGGUGGUGAAGGGCAGUGGGGCGGGCAUCUCUCCUGAAAUGCAGCUCUGGACGGUCCAGACAGAAUGACCCACCAAUGCCAAGUGCCUCGGGACCCAAACAGACUUGGGGAGCACAGUAUUCCUCAGACUUGAGGGCACACAUUUAAGGUGGACCCAGUAUUCUUCACAGCCUUGAGAGGGAACACAUUUGAGGUAGACUCAGCAUUUCCCACAGUCAUGAGGCACAAGUGUAAAGUGGCAUGGCCCCGAAUAGAAGGUGGCGGGUGUGGAGAGGACUCAGGUGCAAAGUGAGGCAGCUAGAUUCCCAGCACUUCCUGUUUGGGGAAACACACAGGUCUGUGUGUGUGUGUGUGUAUGGGUGUAUGGGGUGGGGGCUGCUGCCAAGAUGCUACCACCUGGGCACAGGUCCCGCCAGGUGAGGCAGACUACCAGAGACCUGGUGCUCUGAGCAAUCUUGCAAGCCCUUCCCUGAGCUGCUCCUGCCUGCCCCCGCCCCGCCCCCACUCCUGUGCCGACCACUGGGGUUGCUCUUGAUGAAAUUUGCAUUUUAUCAGAGAUACAGCCACAAGAUGUAGCAGCCAUUUCUGAGCAUAGUAAGAAAAGUUGUCUGCUCCCCCUCAUCCGAGAAUGAGAGCAGCACAGCACGCGUGGGCCGCCCUUGUCCUUCCUUAUACUCUUUUUUUAUAUCACUCAGUACUUACAACAGGUGGCCAGGCUUGCUAUUUUGAAUGUCCUAUUUGACAAAAUAAAACAUUGGCAACCCUAUGUUGGUCCCGAAAAUAUCUUGUGGAGAUUUUUGCCAGGGGAUGAAAUCCAAGUGUCUGGGACUGUUGAGCUAAACGGCGGAGUCAGGAACUUGCGGCAGAGUGAGUCAUAGCUAUAUAGCUUUAUUCAUGGAGGAUGAUUGUGGGGUGGGGGUGGGGGGGUGGGGGUGGGAGGUGGCGUGAAAUGUGGACAUUUAUUGACAUGUUUCCCACGAUGAGAGCUGAACAUAGAUAAAGAACUAUGUGGAGUUGUGGGGGCCAUCCUGCCCAACUUGCUGUGAGUCUUAUCAUGAGUGCGGAAACUUGUAGCGGUGUUUGCUACUUUGUGGGUUCUUCCUUUUUCCACCCUUUCAACCCCCUAACAGUAUAUAGGGGAGGAAAAAGGCUUGAAAGGAAAGAGUUAUCUACUGGAAGAUUUCUUUUGAGGAUUAGGAGGGUAGACUGGAGCUCCUUGGGGCAAGUUUAAGCUUCACCAUCCAGAUAGCUGAUUUCUUCUUCUUGUUGGUUCUUCUUUGUGCACAACUACUUACAAACCCCAACCACCAACAGCCAACAACAACCAACCAACAAACCAACAACAACUCACUCUGCCUCUCGGGGCCAUAGCAUUUAUAUACCCUCCAAAAAGUCUCCAGAAUUCCAAACGUCACACAAUUUAUCUGUAGCUGGCAAAAUCACGCCCCUGCUAGAGCACGAGGCAAAUCCAAGUCAGCUGCUGUGGACAGCCUGAAACUAGCCCUAUCCCUCACCUGGGACCAAAACAAAAACAUUCUUACAAUACAAAAUGCCAAAACUGUCACUAUAAAACAGAGGCUCAGCCCGGGAGAGAACAGUGCCAAGCCUUGCACGGCGAUUAGAUAGAUAGCCCAGGCUCUCCUCGCCACUACUUGCCGGUAGCCUAGCUGCCCAGGUCCUGCAGGAAGCUAGGACAGCGGAACCUGUGUCACUUCCUGGAAACGCAAAAAUCUGACACAGUUGAUAACCAGUCACAUCAUAUGCAAAAAUUAGCUCUUAAGUCAGGCAGGGAUACAGCUUGGUUGUAGAGCACUUGUUAAACCCAAGUAAGGCCCCAGGUUCAAUCCUCAGUACUGAUUAAAGGGAGGAAGAAAAAAAUUAAAGACAUAUGUAAGAGCCAAAAUUAGAAAAGUAUAGUCACCAUGAUGUCUGCUCUUGUUCCUCCUGAAGGUCCCUCAAAGGUCAAUGUGUUAAAAUGCUUGUUCCCAGCUUGCCUCUAGUCUCAGUGUUGUUAAGAGAGAGGAGCCUGGAGGGCUCCUUUGAGUCAUUGGGGGUGUUCCCUCCAGGGCAGUGUGAGGAUCAAAUCUCAAAGCCUUUGUACUUCUGGGCCAGGAGGGAAUGGUUUCUCACCUCAGCAUACUCCCACCCAUGAUGAGUGGUCCACCUCAACAGAGGUCUAAAAACAACACAGCCACCUAGCUGAAGGUUGCAGCCUCUAUAGAUGUCAAAAUAAAAAAAAAAAAAUUGAUCUGUUCUUAUUCAGUAAAACAAGCCUUGAACUUCUUACUCUCCUGCCUCUCCUUCCUGAGUGCUGGGAUUACAGAAUUGUACCAUCACACCCGACUUACAAGUCGGCUACUGGGGUAUUUGUUGUCAUGGCAGGAAGCUGGCUGGCGGCCUCAGAUCUGGUGAUGGAAUCUCAGUUGUGAGGGCACAUGACGGCACUGGUGCCCAAGAAAAGAGACAAAGCCAACGGUGUGGGAAUUAAAAAAAACUUGUGCUUCAAAGAUUCAAGAACAAGAAGACAAUGUGCAGAAAAGGUGACGCUCUCUGCAAAUUGCACCUCUUAGCAGUGGACUCUGUCUGAUAUCAAGGACUCUGAGGACUCAAAAAAGACAAGAGAUAAAUGAUUUAAGCAGAAAUGUCUUCAGCGUCUAAAUGGCAGUCAGAUCUGGUCCACCAUGAAACAUCAUUAGCCUCCAAGGGAGUGAAAUCAAAGCCUCAGUGAGAUGCCACCUUACACUGGGAUGGGCAAUCUCGAACCUUCUAGAAGGACUGGUGAAGUAGAAGGAUCUGAACCUCCCUCCUUGGGUGGAAUUUGACAAGACCUCUAGGGGAGGGGUCUGGAAGUUCCAGAACAGUCACAGGCUGAGGAACCCCACCCACCCCUUGGUGGACGCCCACAAGAACGGAAAGCUUACGUCUACACGGCUUCCUUUCGAUGCCAGGUGGAACAGCACAGAGGCAAAGUGGCGCUCAAGCUGAGACCUCACAGAUAGGAAGUGGUCAGCCAGGCAGAGAACAGGAAGAAGUCUGGGAUGCACUGGCAGCUGUGGCGGCAACAGCACCAACAGCAGCAGCCUCCUCUGCCACAGCCACCACCACAGCAGGAGUGAACUCACACCUGAGGUCCCACAAAGUGGUUGCUGGAGGACUCAGGAGAAGGCUGGUAAGAUCUGCACUGAGGAACCCGUGAGGACCCGAAGCGCAAGCCUGGCGAUAGCAUGGCCAUAGGGAUGAGAGGUGAAUGUGAGGGACAAGGACUCCAUGGGACACAAAUGCCAGGCAGCAGCCUAAAGUGGGGCUAACUUGCCUAUGAACUCUUAGCCUCAAGAAUGCUGGGUAAAUGUCUUAACCUCUGUGACUAUGAAAUGGGAGCCAACUAACUCCCUGUGGCAAGAGGUUCUGAGACCUGUACUGACAGACGGGAGGGCCAAAAGAAGCUGGGUGAGAAGGCCCAGGUGUUUGUUAGCUUAGGGUGGUCACACUAGGCUCCUCCCAGCCACCUAGCAACAACUUAUGUCAUCACUUGCCUCUGUAUGGGCAACUAAUAAACGACUGCUCUCAGGUCUUCAUGCAGGUCCCUCAACCAACUGGAGCCAGGGCUGUUCCUGAGCCUAAUGUCUACCUGCCAGCCUGUGGGUCCCUUGACUGGCCUCAGUGAGGAUGUGUCUAGUCCCAUAGCAAAUGAUGUAUGGGCUGAGGGGGUGGGGAGCCUGGGGGUGACACCCAGAGGAGGGGGUUCUAUUAGAUCUGUCAGAGGUGGGUGGGACUUCAUCCUCCCUGCAAUACUAAUGGUCACAUCAGGAGUGCUGGGGACCAGCCGAGCAGCAAUGUGCCUUUAUUAACAAGGCAGUACCAGCUGGUCUCUGUGAUGUCAGCAGUGGCAACUGAGAGGAGCCAGCACCAGGCCAGGGGCAGGUGUGACAGAGGCAGGGGAAGCCAGGCCACAGGCCUCUCUCUCAGCCUUACUUGGCCUCUGACCUGCUCCCUCCAUUCUCUGCCACUUGAGGAAGUUUCUCCUGGGGCUGCGGCCUGCCCCUUUGGGCUGUGCCUGCGACGGGAAUCUGCCCACUCUUAACUGUCAGGCCUGAUGCUUCACUGCCCUAACAACACAGAGUCCCCUAGGGAGUGCCAGCCUGCAGGGAGGAGACCCUUGCUGGACACCAGUGUCUGUGGGUGUCCCCAAGCACUCCGUAUGCAGCUCCCCGGCGCCAGCCCUGUCACCCACCUGUCCCUGCUCCCCCCCACCCCGGGGAAGGCGCCCUCUAUGGGCCAUCCACUCAAGCUGAGUCAACUGCCUUAGCCAGGUUUAGAGUAGAAGAAACCCAGGCAGAGAUGGAAUGAGUGGCUUAUACACAGACACAGGGAGCAGGGGCUGAGUGCUUAGCAGCUCCGCAGAUAACAAUGUCUGAGAAACCAGAGCACAGCCAAGCUCUCUUCCCAAAGAGCAGCCACUCACCCUGAGGUGCAGAAGCUGUGAAAGAAGGAAACAACAUGGAGAUCAAGGCUCAGAGGGCUCCCUUUCCUCACCAGUGGGCUUUCAAGACACAUACUGAUACCCAAGCUACUGACGGGGAACCUGAGUCUGGGCAUACUGAGUCCCAAGCCACUGUAGUUAUGAGCUAGGGGUGAGCCCAGACAUGAGACUGCAGAUGUGUGUGUGUGGCGGGGGAGGGGUAUGGGACUGUGUGUGUGUGUGUGUGUGUGUGUGUAUGUGUGUGUGUGUGUGUGUGUGUGUGUGUGUGUGUGUAGGGAAAGCAUCUCUCCUCGCUGCAAGCUUUGAUGCAUGUCCGUCACAAGUGGGCCAAGAAUGUUGGGGUGGGGGUGGGGGUGAGAGUCGGGGUAUGUUUGCUCUGAGCCUACCUGGGUCCCAGCCUGACCUAAAUCCUUCAGAGUAAAGCUAGUGGCCUGACUCUGCCACUGCCUAUGGUGACACCAACAUGGCCGACACAGGGCAGCAGGGCGGGUGUCGUGUGUUGUGUGUUGGCAGGAUGUCCUCUGACUCAGGCCUGGACUCUCCAGCUUAGGCACCGAGGUGCUGGGAUCAGGGGACCUGCCCUAGGGGAUAGGCGGUAAAUCAGUGGUAUCCGAGAUGGAGGAGCCACCUAGGCCAUUGUCACACCCUGGACCUGUCCCCACACUGCUGCCGGCCACAGAUGGGUAGGGAAAAGUCUGAGAUUUGUCACUCCCAAAUGCAAGUGCAAAAUCACCUUUUACUUACAUGUGGCUUUGUUGGAGUGGGUGUGUCACUGUGGGGUUGGGCAAUGAGACCCUCCUCCUAAACAUGUGGGAGCCAGUCUUCUCCCUUGCAGCCUUCAGAUGAAGAUGUAGAACUCUCAGCUCCUCCUGCACCAUGCCUACCUACCUGGAUGCUGCCAUGUACCCACCUUGAUGAUAAUGGACUGAACCCCUGAACCUGUAAGCCAGCCCCAAUUAAAUGUUGUCCUUUAUAAGACUUGCCUUGGUCAUGGUGUCUGUUCACAGCAGUAAAACCCUAAGACAGCUAUCACUUUGUGAAGGUUUCACACACCCCGCUCCUACACACACUUUUUUUUUUAAAGAUUUUUAAACUGACAGUGGAUGGUACACAUCUGUGAUCC
rnacentral:lncRNA from 1 species